GUGUCUGGCUUCCCUUGAUUUCGUUGUGCCUGUGAGCCCGUAUGGUUCGUGGGCAGUGCCAAGAAUGUGAAGCAACAGCGACUGUUCCUCUCGCUAUCCGGCGCGGAUCUUUUUGAUGCGAUGGGACGUCGAGGAACUACAAUU
rfam:Setaria italica strain Yugu1 chromosome I, whole genome shotgun sequence.